rnacentral:rRNA from 1 species
UACAGAGGGUGCAAACGUUGUUCGGAAUCACUGGGCGUAAAGCGUGCGUAGGCGGUCUUGUAAGUCGGAUGUGAAAGCCCUGGGCUCAACCUAGGAAGUGCACUCGAUACUGCGAGACUUGAGUACUGGAGAGGUUGGUGGAAUUCUCGGUGUAGAGGUGAAAUUCGUAGAUAUCGGGAAGAACAUCGGUGGCGAAGGCGGCCAACUGGACAGAUACUGACGCUGAGGCACGAAAGCGUGGGGAGCAAACAGG